CCAUCCCAUUUUUGGGAUCAUUGAUCUGGUUUGGUUUGUUUUGUGCCUGGGGUGGUUGCUGUCCCUGCCCCACCCCCAUCCUCCUUGGCUCUGGGGCUGUCGCAAUGAAUGGAAGCUGAGCUGGGGUUUCUGUGGGGAGUUGAGGGCAGGCUGAGAGACAGUCUGCUCUCUUCCGUGGGUGGUUCAAUGGGACAUGCAUGGCCAGUAUCUCUAACCAGGGAUCCUGCUGUUUCUGUGGGUUUUGCCUGCUUCUCUUUGGUUUUGUUUGGCUUUGGCACUGUGACUGAACUUGCCCGCUGGGCUUCUUUUGCUGCUCUGAUGUCAGGAAGCCCAGAGCCAGUGCAUGCCCUGCCAGGACCUGGGACCACCUUCGUUUCCCGCUGGACGGCUGCCCCCACCCUUCACACAGCCAGGAUCCGAAGAAUGAGGCAGCACCGGCGAGAACAUCCCAAAGAGCCUUUUACGGCGUUCAGGAGCUGGAUUGUUACUGCCCAGCCCCCACCGUACCUCUGCCAUAGCUCCACGCUUCUGCUACACUGCAGUUUUUCACCCUUUGCCUUCCAGGAGGUCCUGCCCUUGCAGCUUGCUGCUUCCAAGAGUCCUGCUGGGGCACUGGAAUUGGAUGAAUCUGCGGGGUUUGUAAAUCAGGCCCUUUUUCCAUCCCUUUCUGUCUCGGUCAAGCCGCCAUUAUCAUGUGAUCCCUGAAUUCGCACUGGAGCGCCCCCUGCAGCCGCAGGGGAAUCAUCGCACCCACCCUGCCCACCAGGAGUCACCAGCACGCUGUGUCUGUGGCCAUAAAACACCAAAGGGGAAAUUGCCUGCCGCCGAGAGAAGGCUGUUACUGGGCUUCUGGUACAGUAUUUCCACUAAAAUCAGUUGGACAAAGCCUGGUAUAUCUUGAGAAUUUAUAAUGCCCUUUCCAACACAAGUUUUGAGACUCAAAAUAAGAUUUGGGUAAAGACAGAAGCGGAGGUGCCUGGAUUUUCCUACCUGACCUGAGCAUAUAUUAAUCCAUCAGAUUCUAUGCUUUUCAAGGUGACCUUCACCACCAAGAAGAUCAGCUGGAGAGGAUCAAUGGAACAUCAUUGGGAUCCAUGGAGUGGAUAGUUAUUUCCCUGUUAUUUCCCUGUCCCUGUUACUCUCUGUCUACCCCCCCACACCUAUUUUCUAUUUCUUUCUCCCUCACUCUCUCUCCCAUAUUUAAUAAAAUCCAUACGAUUGUCUUUUGCUUUUGUAAAUUAUUUUGAUGUAGUACAGUUUGUAAUCUCUUUUGAUAUAGUAUCAUUUGUCAGCCUCUUAUGGUUAAUACCCUAAUAUCUGUGUCGAUUGUAUAUCUUAGUGUUGUAAAUAUAUAUUAUAGUUUAGGCUUUCACAAAAUAUUAAAAUAGAGGAUGUGUACUGUCUACUAUAACAUUGACUUUUAGAGAAGUAAUGGCAGUUGUGGAAUAAUAACUAAUGCCUUUAUUUUUGUAACCAUCUGACAAUAGUGAAAUAGCUAAUGUUGAUUGAAAGUACUUGUAAAAAUGGCUAGCUGUAUGAUAAGAUAACAUUGAAAAGAACCAGAGAAAUAACAUUGAAAGCACAAGAAAGAAUCUACUACUGACCCUUCGGCUAUCAAUAACUGUCAAACCACAGACCAGGGGCCCUUGUGAGGAAAUAAAAUACAAGACUCUCAGAAUCACAUCUGCAUUGUGGCACAUACUCUAAGAUGAAGUCAGGGGGGUCUAAUGAAGAUUAAAAUUCUCAGAACAUGUAAACUCAAAGGAAUGUCUGAAUAUGUAUAAUCUUCAUUAAUACACAUUUGACCCAUGCAAUAAGAAAGCAUAUAUGAAGAGUUGUUGUAGUUAAUGGUAUGCUUCUGCAGUUUGCCGGGCACCACAGUGCUGGAUGCUGUUUCUUUUUUCCCUUGUUAAACUUAAAAAUUCUAAAGAGUGAGCUUUGUUUCUCACUGGGCUGAUAGUAUUGCCUAUUUAUAGCACUUAGCAUACAUUUCUUUAAUUCCUGUAAUUUUCUUAUGUUAUGUAUCACUAACAAAGUGUUCCUCAAUCAGCUAAGAAGGCAAAAGGGCAACAGAUUGGAAGAGUAACCAGAUAUACAGUCACGCUCUGCAUUCAAAGCUGGAGGGGGAAAAAAGGACGGAAGAUACUGGGAGUUAUGGACUUUGUCUUCCCAAGUAACUGCUAUGCAUGAUGAAGUCUUAAUUUGCAAGCAAAGGCUAAAUGUAUGUCUGUUGAUGGGAAGCACUUAACUAAAUUUUUUGUUCUGCUUUAGCACACAGGUUUUGCUUUACCUAUUAAAACAUCCAAUCUCAAGCCAUGAGCUUUCCUACUUUUAUACUCUCACCGUGGGGGAGUGAGUGAGUGUCUGUAUGGGGCUCAACUGUGUGUCAGAGUUAACCCAUAACAGCUGGGCUAGCAAUGUGGCGCUCCUAGAUAAAUGUAUGUUGCAGUCCUUAAACAAUUUACAUUGUCUCUACUUUGGACUACACUACCUUCCAUAAAUCUAAAUAUGCUUUACGAGAUGAAAUAAAAUCAUGAGGAUGUAGAUUUGUUCAGUCUCACGUGCAUAACACAUUUUGAUGCUUUAUUUUCAGGCUUAACCCUCAUUUGAAAGGUUUGGAUCUGGGCCUGGAGAAUCAUGAGCUAUCAAUAAUGUCAAAAAAGGCUCAACUGAGUCACUCUACAGGCUUUCAAAUAGACAACAUUGUCUUUGGAGUAGGCGCAAGAUGUUGGCUACAGGAGGGCUGCAACGGCAGAGAGGUACUGUGCUGACAUGGGCCAGUUCCAGCAAGCUUCAGUGAGACCCAUCACAGACCAGAGAAGACUCUACCCGUAACAUUUGAGAUGCAUUUGUGAAAAUGUAUGUAAGAAAAGACAGAAAACAUCAGGGUCAGAGAAAGAGGAGAGGGUGGAGGAGAUGCUUCUGGUGACAGAGUAACUAUUCCCUACAGUCCAUGCAUGAAGACCUGCACUGGUGCAGAUAGUCACUGCCAUCCAUGGACAACACCCUGCUGGAGCAAAUGGAUAUUACUGCAGGAACUGCAGCCAGCAUAGAACUCAUAUCACAGCAUAUUUUCUUGACAGGAACUGCAGCCUAAAGGAACCCUCUCAGUGUUGCAGGGGUAAAGUGUGAGGAGGAAGGAGUAAGACUGCAGCACACCAUUUCUCAUCUGCCUGCACCACUUGAAGAGGGGCAAGGGGUCUAGCAUAAAACUAGAGUGAAGAAGUGAUACUGUGUCUGUGAAGGGAGGUAAGAAAAUGUGUUAUUUUAAAGUUUGUCCCUAUUUCCCGUUACUCCAACUAGUGAUUAUGUUUUUAUUUUAAUUGGCAAUUCAUUAAGUUAUUUUACUCACAAUAAGUCUUUUUUCCCCACAUAACUGACUGGUAAGCAAUCUCUCUGUCUUUAUACAUGCCCUCAAGCUUUCUCAUAUCUGCUCUUUUUAUUUUCUGCCCCAUCCUGGGGAAGAGACAGGGGAUCAGCAAACAGCUGGCUAGAAUUUUGCCCAUUAGCUGAGGCUAAGCCACAAUAUGAAGUCAUAAGAAUGUUUGGCUUCACUUAGAUGUUUGCAAAAUAUUUUUUCUGCUCUUAAUAAGAGAAAAUCAUACUGGGCUACUCUGUAGAUUAAAACUUCAGUCCUUGUUAUCAUUAUAGUCACUCCUCUGAAAUAUAAUAACUAAAUAAAUAAACAUACUGUUACCAAAAAUUUAUAUUUCUAUAAAAAGGGCCCUAUUCAGCAGUGGGGAAAAAUGUUUGGAAUUAAACAAAGAAGGGUGAUUCAUUCCAUGAAACAGAUAGCAGUUAACAAGAAAGCUCUGGGUGAUAUCCAUGUGUUAGAAAAAUGUUUAGGGUCUGUCAUGCUUCAGUGCUCUCAGACCUGGGAUGGGAAAUGGGAAAAACACAAAUCACCUGUAUUUUCACCCCAUGUGGUCCUGCUACAAUGCAUUUUUCACAGUUCUAAUUCUCUAAAAUAUCUGGUCUUUUUGCAAGGCCAUAUUUUGAAACUUGCUGAAACUUGUUUCUAGUUCAAUCUCUCCCUCAACAAUGUCAUCUCUAUUCCAUGGUCUUCCUAAGUCAGCACACCUUAUCUCAGUGUUUGCGUACAAGACUAUGUGAGCUUUCUGAUAGGUUCUGAGAAUUCCUUACAAGUCCAUUUCUCACAUCACAUAACUUGUUAGCCAAUGAACACUAAUUCCUUUGUUUGCUAAAAUUUAUAAAUAGUUAAAAGCUUUGGUAACUGAUGUACAUAAUUUGUGGAGGGAUCCCCAUAUAG